CUUGCUGCAGUAAGUGCCAUCCCAAAGAAAUUAUUGGGUUUGAUUUAGCUGAUCACUUUUUAUCUUUCUCAUCCAAUCUUCAAAAUAUCUUUUCCUACAAGUUGCUUGAGGAUAGGCUUUACUAAAAACCACCACCAUUCUCCUUGCAUCAGAAUGGCAGAUGGAGUAUAUCUUAAUUCAUGAAACAAUUUGCACCUGCUAAAAAGAUAAUGAAAAUCUUAACACACUCAUAAGCAAGAAUUGCAUGGUUUAUUAACAUCUAUGAAUGUGUUCUUUUCUUUAAUAUUACUUGUUUUAAGUUCAUGGCAAGUAGCUUGAGAGCGAAACUGUUUUUCAGGUGACUAAUGAUAUAUUCACAAAG
rnacentral:misc_RNA from 1 species